GCCAUUUCUCUGCCUGUGAGUCAGCAUUUAAUCUUAAAGCUUUUGCUAAUCAGUAUGAGUAGCAAAGAAGUCCCAAAAAAUUUUAUGUAACCCCUUCAUGAUAUUCACAAGCAUAAAAUUUCUGGUUUUGUGUGUGCUAGUGCAUUUUUUUUAAUAUCAACAUUUUACUGUUUGCCGAACUAAUUAUUUAUUUCUUUAUCAAACAUGAAAUGGCCUGAGGUCAUUCGUCAGGGGGAAGUUUGACAGGCAUUCAGAAUGCAGUUUCACUUCCCGUUACUUGUUCAGCAUGAAGACACUUGUUGUUUCCUCCCUUUGCCACCUGCAUCAUGAUGCUCUAUUUAUAAACCCUAUUGCAAUCUCAUGCCCUUUAAGUUUUUUAUUUGAAUUACAUGAAUUGUACUGGUCAUCUUCAUAUGACAAACCAUCAAAUAGACACCUUGGACUUUUUAUAUUCAUGACAUUAUUAAAUUAAGCUAUGAGAAUGCAUGAGAAGUUUUCAACAGCCAAGAGGAAGUCCCUGACUGCAUGAGCCAUUAACAGGAACAGGAACAGAUGAGAACGAAAAGAGAAAGAAGAAGCGGUAGGAUUUUUGCAAUUUUACUGUAUUGAUUUUAAUAUUUUUGCUAUAAAUAUUUGACCUGAUAUUUCACAGAAACUUAAACGGACAUAUAUAAUCUUUUGCAGACUCUGAUUUGGGAGAAGGUCAUCAAAUUAUUUGUGCUAAUGACAAGUUCAAUAAGUUUACAGGUUGGCUUGUUGAUUAAAUGAAAGGUUUUUGCAAUUAAUAAUGAUCUUUCAUUAUAGCAGGGGACGUCCCUGAACCAGUCCAAUUUAAAAUCUGCUACAAAAAUCAAACAAAAUACAAUGGUUCAAAGCAACGCCACUUCCACCUCUGCAAAGGAUAUUUUAUCUAAACCACCUGAAAAAAACACAAUGGUUCAAAGCAACGCCACUUCAACCUCUGCAAAGGAUAUUUUAUCUAAACCUGAAAAAAACACAAACAACUUCACUUCCAUCGGUCCAGUGACUACUUUCAAAAAUGAAAGUGUUUCUCCAUCACAGAGAAUGAAUGAGACCUCUUGUGAAUGGUUUACAUGGGACACGAAAUCCAUAUUCCCAUUUGUAGUUGGCGCUGCCUUCUCAGCAAUUGUCAUCGGCAUUGUACUCUGUAUCUGCCUCUGCUGCAAAAGAAAAGCAAAACGCAAAGAGCUCAAAGCCGGCAUGUACUUUACGAGUGUGUCCAGUGAUGAUUCGAAGGUUGAAGCAGGAUAUGACAAGGUGCCUCUUCAAGGCAUUGUGACCUUCCCAGGAGGAGCUGAAGGAGUGACUAAUGGGGAGAAGACGACCAGCCCAGAGAAAGACGUGGACUACGCUACGAUCAAUUACUCCAUGCUGCAGAAGAGGGACGACACCAGCGUCCUGGGCCAGAAGAAGGACUUGGACACGGAGUAUGCAGAGAUAAAGAAGGAAAAGAAGCCUGAUGAUCAGGCCAGGAAAAAAGAUGAUGAGGACGGGAAGGAGAAGACGGAGGAAGGGAAGAAAGAUCAGGAACCAGUUGCUGAAGAAGGGGGCAGAGCUCAGCAUGAAGAAAAGUCCUCGGUGCCUUUGGUGAAUUAGGCUCUAAAAAGAGAGGGUGUGCAAGCACCAGUAGAAUGGUCAGGACAGAGUUCCACUAAAUGCUGAGAGAUGCGGGCUUAAAUGGUUUGGCAACUUAUCUUAAAACAGACACCACAUCCCGGAAAUUAGAGAAAUAAUGUCAUGUCACAAUGUCAUGCCAUGAACUAAAGCUGUUGCGAUGCCCUUGCAAACACACUCUUCCUGUUUUGUGCAACUCUGUAAUGUUCUCAUAGGUACAGUAACCAUUUUUAAAAAUCAGAUGAUUGGUGUAGGAUUUAGAAGCCCGAAAUAUUUUUUUGCUUGCAGUGUACACUUAUGCAACUUUAGUAAAAACAUGUUCUGCACCUUGUACUUGUCCAGUUUCUGAAAUAAAUGUACCAUUAUGGGCUGUAUCCAAUCUUCUGCCAUGCAUAACUGAGGGUCAAAGGUCAGCAUCAGUGUUGUCCAGAUUUCCAUCAUUUACAUGGUUGUCCAUGGUAGCAAGAACGCAUCUAGCUGGGGCACACUAUGAAUGCAUCCCCAGUUCUUUCAGAACUUGCAGACUUGCAGUUUUCCACCCUAAUGUCACAGAUUACACCAGAAUGCUUCUUGUUUCACUGUGUUCAGUACAGUGCACAUGCUACACAAGUUUUUAAAAGCAUGGGGAUACAUCAAAAUACUGAGUUGGGGUGAUGCAUGCCUCUUUUUACCAUAUGCAUUUAAAUAUGUAUACAGGUCAACCCUUCCACUCUUCACAUUAUAUGCUCAGCAAAAAGCCACGUGAUUACUACAUACCAGAAUGUAGUAAUCAUUACAGUAAAUAUUAUAAAACCAUCCCCAGACAGCACUGUCAAUUCAUAUGCUGGGCGUAGAUUUAACAGUCCCUAGCUGUUCCAGCAGUACUGAUUCUGUUAUUUUAACCAUCCACAUGCUGACACCCAUAAAGUGUCAUAUCUAUGUUUUUUCCAUUUUUGCAUCCAUUUGAUUAGCCAAAUAUUUCAUAAACAAAUUAAAUAUAAGUGAUUGUUUUUGUCGUUGUGACACACAGCAAGCACAAUUCUUUUUUUUUUAGUUUAACGGUAAAUAAUGGGUAUAUAAUAUUCCUACUCAAAAAAUUUAGCACAAAUUUAAGACAUCCUAAAUCUGAAUGAUUUUUUUUAUUUUUUAU
ensembl:lncRNA